UACAGAGGUCUCAAGCGUUGUUCGGAUUCAUUGGGCGUAAAGGGUGCGUAGGUGGCGCUGUAAGUCAGGUGUGAAAUUUCGGAGCUUAACUCCGAAACUGCAUUGGAUACUAUUCGGCUUGAGAGUUGGAGGGGGGACUGGAAUUCCUGGUGUAGCGGUGAAAUGCGCAGAGUAUCAGGAGGAACACCGGUGGCGAAGGCGGGGUCUCUGGGUAGUAACUGACGCUGAGGAACGAAAGCGUGGGUAGCGAACAGG
rnacentral:rRNA from 1 species